CAGAGAAUAGUUUAAUAAAAAUAAUAAUUUUGGGGAUUAUUGAUAAAGAAAAAUCUUUUUCUCUGA
rnacentral:tRNA from 1 species